rnacentral:rRNA from 1 species
UGGCGAGCGGCGAACGGGUGAGUAAACCAUCGAGACGUACCUACUAGUGGGGGAUAACCCAUCGAAAGAUGGGCUAAUACCGCAUAAUCUCUGAGGAGGAAAGGUGGGGAUCCGCAAGGACCUGUCGCUAAAUGAGCGAUCGAUGGCCGAUUAGCUAGUUGGUGGGGUAAAGGCCUACCAAGGCGAUGAUCGGUAGCUGUUCUGAGAGGAAGACCAGCCACACUGGGACUGAGACACGGCCCAGACUCC